rnacentral:rRNA from 1 species
GACGGAGGAUGCAAGCGUUAUCCGGAAUUACUGGGCGUAAAGCGUCCGCAGGUGGCUGUUCAAGUCUGCUGUCAAAGCGCAGAGCUUAACUCUGUACAGGCGGUGGAAACUGAAGAGCUAGAGUAUGGUAGGGGUAGAGGGAAUUCCCGGUGUAGCGGUGAAAUGCGUAGAUAUCGGGAAGAACACCAGUGGCGAAAGCGCUCUACUGGGCCAUAACUGACACUGAGGGACGAAAGCUAGGGGAGCGAACGGG